rnacentral:rRNA from 1 species
AUACGAAAGGUGCAAGCGUUGUUCGGAUUUACUGGGCGUAAAGAGAGUGUAGGUGGUUUAUUAAGUCGGAUGUGAAAUCCCGGGGCUCAACCUCGGAACUGCAUUCGAUACUGGUAGACUAGAGUUUGGGAGGGGUAAGCGGAAUUCCGUGUGUAGCAGUGAAAUGCGUAGAUAUACGGAGGAACACCUGAGGCGAAGGCGGCUUACUGGACCAAUACUGACACUGAGGAUCGAAAGCGUGGGUAGCGAACAGGAUUAGAAACCCCAGUAGUCC